UCUGCUUACUGACCACAGAGGAAGGCUUCUUUAAAGACAGCGUCCUUCUUCAUUCCACACAGAGAGAUGAGAGGAGCAGCUAUGAGUUUAACUGCAGCAACAAGUGGAUUUGUCGUCUUCCUUCUCUCUGUGUCAGUGGUACAGAGCCAGAAUGACUGGGGAGUGACGUACACUUCUACUACUAAGAUCUGUGCCUUCAAAGGAUCAACAGUUGAUAUGUCCUCCAAAUAUACAUACCCACUCAAAACAAAUGGCCAUGAGACUAAAGUUGAGAGAAUAUUCUGGUUUACUGAAGAAAGUAAUGUGGAUCUAAUAAUGGACACAA